rnacentral:misc_RNA from 1 species
GGAACUAGAUAAACUCCCUCUAGCUCGUCGAGAAUUAAGAGGUGAAGGUAAUGAUCCUAUCAGUGAUUUGUCCGCGACAAAGAGGGCACUCUAAACAAGCAAGGGAACAUGGUUUACACAAGCAAAAAUGCCGACAUGGGAGAAGUACUGCGGCCGAUGGAGAUUCAAAACAUACUUUACAAACAUGAGAAUUGAUAUCCCCGUUUCCGAUAGAGUCGACUUCUUU